rnacentral:rRNA from 1 species
GACGAACGCGGCGGCGUGCUUAACACAUGCAAGUCGAACGGAGCGAAUGAAAGCUUGCUUUUAUGAGCUUAGUGGCAAACGGGUGAGUAACACGUAGGCAACCUGCCGACAGGAUGGGGACAACAUUCCGAAAGGAAUGCUAAUACCGAAUGAAGCGGAGGGGAGGCAUCUCCCUUCCGUGAAAGAUGGCCUCUAUUUAUAAGCUAUCACCUGUCGAUGGGCCUGCGUCUGAUUAGCUAGUAGGUGAGGUAACGGCUCACCUAGGCGACGAUCAGUAGCCGGUCUGAGAGGAUGAACGGCCACAUUGGGACUGAGACACGGCCCAGACUCCUACGGGAGGCAGCAGUGGGGAAUCUUCCGCAAUGGGCGCAAGCCUGACGGAGCAACGCCGCGUGAGUGAAGAAGGUCUUCGGAUCGUAAAGCUCUGUUUGAUGGGGGACGAAAUGUGCGUGAUGCGAAAUAGUGUCCAUGC